rnacentral:rRNA from 1 species
AUAUUGGGCGUAAGCGUCCGCAGGCGGCUAGAUAAGUCUGCUUUCAAAGAGUGGGGCUCAACCCCAUAAAGGGAGUGGAAACUGUUUAGCUAGAGUAUGGUAGGGGCAGAGGGAAUUCCCAGUGUAGCGGUGAAAUGCGUAGAUAUUGGGAAGAACACCAGUGGCGAAGGCGCUCUGCUGGACCGAGACUGACGCUGAGGGACGAAAGCUAGGGGAGCGAAAGGGAUUAGAUACCCCUGUAGUCCUAGCUGUAAACGAUGGACACUAGGUGUUGCGCGUAUCGACCCGUGCAGUGCCGUAGCUAACGCGUUAAGUGUCCCGCCUGGGGAGUACGCACGCAAGUGUGAAACUCAAAGGAAUUGACGGGGGCCCGCACAAGCGGUGGAGUAUGUGGUUUAAUUCGAUGCAACGCGAAGAACCUUACCAGGGUUUGACAUCCCUCGAAUCUCUGUGAAAGCGGAGAGUGCCUUCGGGAGCGAGGAGACAGGUGGUGCAUGGCUGUCGUCAGCUCGUGUCGUGAGAUGUUGGGUUAAGUCCCGCAACGAGCGCAACCCACGUUUUCAGUUGCCAGCAUUAAGUUGGGGACUCUGGAGAGACUGCCGGUGACAAACCGGAGGAAGGUGUGGACGACGUCAAGUCAUCAUGCCCCUUACAUCCUGGGCUACACACGUACUACAAUGGUUAGGACAAAGGGCAGCGAAGCCGCGAGGUGGAGCAAAACUCAUAAACCUAGCCUCAGUUCAGAUUGCAGGCUGCAACUCGCCUGCAUGAAGGAGGAAUCGCUAGUAAUCGCAGGUCAGCAUACUGCGGUGAAUACGUUCCCGGGCCUUGUACACACCGCCCGUCACACCAUGGGAGUUGGCCACGCCCGAAGUCGUUACCCUAACCGUUCGCGGAGGGGAC